rnacentral:rRNA from 1 species
UGGGGAAUAUUGGACAAUGGGCGCAAGCCUGAUCCAGCCAUGCCGCGUGAGUGAUGAAGGCCCUAGGGUUGUAAAGCUCUUUCACCGGUGAAGAUAAUGACGGUAACCGGAGAAGAAGCCCCGGCUAACUUCGUGCCAGCAGCCGCGGUAAUACGAAGGGGGCUAGCGUUGUUCGGAUUUACUGGGCGUAAAGCGCACGUAGGCGGACUUUUAAGUCAGGGGUGAAAUCCCGGGGCUCAACCCCGGAACUGCCUUUGAUACUGGAAGUCUUGAGUAUGGUAGAGGUGAGUGGAAUUCCGGGUGUAGAGGUGAAAUUCGUAGAUAUUCGGAGGAACACCAGUGGCGAAGGCGGCUCACUGGACCAUUACUGACGCUGAGGUGCGAAAGCGGGGGGAGCAAACAGG